UACGUAGGGACCGAGCGUUGUCCGGAAUCAUUGGGCGUAAAGAGCGUGUAGGCGGCCACUUAAGUCCUGCGUGAAAUCUUGCGGCUCAACCGCAAGCGGUCGUGGGAAACUGGGUGGCUAGAGUGCGGGAGAGGAGAGUGGAAUUCCCGGUGUAGUGGUGAAAUGCGUAGAUAUCGGGAGGAACACCAGUGGCGAAGGCGACUUCCUGGCCUGUUCUUGACGCUGAGGCGCGAAAGCUAGGGUAGCAAACGGG
rnacentral:rRNA from 1 species